rnacentral:sRNA from 1 species
AUGUACCCACUCCUACACUCCGAUUCCCCCGCGCCCACCUGACGAUCGCUCGCCACGUUCUGUCAGCC